rnacentral:lncRNA from 1 species
UUCUCUAAUAAUUUUAUUGCAGAAUCGAUUAGUCGGACUCCUCUGGUAUUUUUUUCUCGUAAACAUUAUCCACAUUUUUUGAUUGCCAAUCCUAUUACUAAGAAGAUGUCCAUUUCUAAAUUCUUAUGGAAGCAUAAACCUUUUUAAGGUGAAAGUUUUUGUUUGGACGUCGAUUUUGCAUAGGCUAAAUACUAAUGAUACUCUUCAAUUUUGCAUACCUAAUUAUGCCUUGGGUUUUAGAGGUUUGUGUGAUGUCUUACAAAGCUGCCUAGACUCAUGAUCACUUUUUUGCAUUGUGAUGUAGCUUAGACUAUCUAGACUUGGGUUUCUGAAAAUUUUGGUUUCUCUGAACUUUCACUUUUGAGUAUUUAGUCUUCUCUUCGGUUUUUGACAGUUCUAGCAAUGAGGAGGGAGUUCAGAUGUCUUUGUAUUAGGCUAUUUUAGCUGGUUUGUGUCCUUGAUGAUUAUUUGUGGAUAAAGGUCGCUUUUUGGCUUUCACUUGGCUAAGUCCCAUGGUUUAAGGAAAUCUCUCUUUCAGUUUUGCAUAGAGAUUCACUGACUAUUCUUUCUAGAGUUUAGCUAGUGUGUGUCUCUCUCUUUCCUUUCAUCUGUUUUCUUUGUUUUUGGUAGAGGAUGUCUAAUCCCAUUGUUUUUAUUUAUCCUUCUCAAUGAUAUUUUUUCUUUUCCUGUGAAAAAAAUCCUAGUUCAUCAAAAUUUCACAAGUUUUCUUGAUACAUUAUAUGUAAUACUUGUUUGUGUGUGUGUAUGCAAGAGCUGUGUUAGAUGUAUAUUCCAGCAUAGACUAUUGUAGGACCGAACAGAGCGAAGAGAAAUUAGAGAAGAGGAUAGACAAGGGAAGAGAGAAAAGAGAGAUUG